rnacentral:rRNA from 1 species
UAGCCUAACGGCUGAACCAGCAACUUGGAAGAAUGUAUAGUAUUAACUAAUUACAUUUUAUAUGUAAAAUCGGAUAUAACGAAUAAAAUUCUAAAUAAAUUAUGAUGAUGACAUUUUUUAUUUAUAUGUCUUGACCAAAUUACGUGCCAGCAGUCGCGGUAAUACGUAAAAGACUAGUGUUAUUCAUAUUUAAUGGGUUUAAAGGGUACUUAGACUGUAGAUUAAGCCUUAAAUGGAACUAAUUUACUAGAGUUGCUUAUGAAGAGGCUAUAAAGUACUAAUGGUGUAAAGAUAAAAUUUUAUAAUACCAUUUCUCGAUAGAGAAACAAUGGCACAGAUAACGGCGAAGGCAUCCUCUUACUAGAUAACUGACGUUAAAGGACGAAAGCUUUAAAUCACAAAUAGGAUUAGACACCCUAGUAGUUGAAGCAGUAAAUUAUGAGCGCCAUAGGUUAUAUUUUUAUCCUAUAAACGAAAGUGUAAGCGUUUCACCUCAAGAGUAAUUUGGCAACAUUGGAACUGAAAUCAUUAGACCGUUUCUGAAACCAGUAGUGGAGUAUGUUGUUUAAUUCGAUAAUCCGCGAAAAACCUUACCACAAUUUGAAUAUUUAUACAUUAUGUAUAUUUACAAGCGUUGCACGGCUGUCUUCAGUUAAUGUCGUGAGACUUUGGUUAGAUCCAUUUAAUUAACGUAAACCCUUGCUCUAUUUUUUUAUAGAGUAGUUCUCCAUAAUAUUGGAUUAGACAAUAGGGACUAAGACAAGUCAUCAUGGCC